rnacentral:lncRNA from 1 species
GCCUUUAAAUCUGAACUUACAGCACAUCCCUGAAGCAGAUCAGUUUCUGAGCAAGAGGAUAAACUUCUUCUACAAGAAAAUGGACUACAAAACGCUACCGUUGGCUGAAUGGAACGAGUCUCAUGUUAGAUGCUGGCUAGAAUCUAUUGGAAUUAAGAAAGAACAUGUAGAAAAGCUCUNUAUGUAGAAAAACUCUGUGAAGAGGAAGUGACUGGCCCAGUACUCAAAGAAUUAG